rnacentral:rRNA from 1 species
GAGAGUAAAACAGUACGUGAAAUUGUUGAAAGGGAAACGAUUGAAGUCAGUCAUGCCGGCGUUGGAUUCAGCUUGCUUCGCGGAGCGGGCGCAUUUCCUCGCAUGGCAGGUCAGCGUCAGUUUUGCGCGGCGUGAAAAGGCUCGGGUAAGGUAGCUCUCUUCGGGGAGUGUUAUAGACCUGGGCAAAUGCGCAGCGCGGGACUGAGGAUUGCAGCGGACACCUCUUCGGAGGCGCGGCGACCGAACCCUGCUCGGCCACCCUCGUUCGAUAGCGUGCUAGCGGACGCGGGAGCGGCAGUGCACCGGAACAGGCAAGCCAGCGGUUCGCUUAGGAUGCUGACGUAAUGGCUUUAAACGA